rnacentral:rRNA from 1 species
AUUGAACGCUGGCGGCAGGCCUAACACAUGCAAGUCGAACGGUAACAGGAAGAAGCUUGCUUCUUUGCUGACGAGUGGCGGACGGGUGAGUAAUGUCUGGGAAACUGCCUGAUGGAGGGGGAUAACUACUGGAAACGGUAGCUAAUACCGCAUAACGUCGCAAGACCAAAGAGGGGGACCUUCGGGCCGCUUGCCAUCGGAUGAGCCCAGAUGGGAUUAGCUAGUAGGUGGGGUAACGGCUCACCUAGGCGACGAUCCCUAGCUGGUCUGAGAGGAUGAACGGCCACACUGGAACUGAGACACGGUCCAGACUCCUACGGGAGGCAGCAGUGGGGAAUAUUGCACAAUGGGCGCAAGCCUGAUGCAGCCAUGCCGCGUGUAUGAAGAAGGCCUUCGGGUUGUAAAGUACUUUCAGCGGGGAGGAAGGGAGUAAAGUUAAUACCUUUGCUCAUUGACGUUACCCGCAGAAGAAGCACCGGCUAACUCCGUG